rnacentral:rRNA from 1 species
GAUGAACGCUGGCGGCGUGCCUAAUACAUGCAAGUCGAGCGAACGGACGAGAAGCUUGCUUCUCUGAUGUUAGCGGCGGACGGGUGAGUAACACGUGGAUAACCUACCUAUAAGACUGGGAUAACUUCGGGAAACCGGAGCUAAUACCGGAUAAUAUUUUGAACCGCAUGGUUCAAAAGUGAAAGACGGUCUUGCUGUCACUUAUAGAUGGAUCCGCGCUGCAUUAGCUAGUUGGUAAGGUAACGGCUUACCAAGGAAACGAUGCAUAGCCGACCUGAGAGGGUGAUCGGCCACACUGGAUCUGAGACACGGUCCAGACUCCUACGGGAGGCAGCAGUAGGGAAUCUGCCGCAAGGGGCGAAAGCCUGACGGAGCAACGGCGCGUGAGUGAUGAAGGUCUUCGGAUCGUAAAACUCUGUUAUUAGGGAAGAACAUAUGUGUAAGUAACUGUGCACAUCUUGACGGUACCUAAUCAGAAAGCCACGGCUAACUACGU